rnacentral:rRNA from 1 species
CCUUAGAGUUUGAUCCUGGCUCAGAGCGAACGCUGGCGGCAGGCUUAACACAUGCAAGUCGAACGGGCUUCUUCGGAAGUCAGUGGCAGACGGGUGAGUAACACGUGGGAACGUGCCCUUCGGUUCGGAAUAACUCAGGGAAACUUGAGCUAAUACCGGAUAAGCCCUUACGGGGAAAGAUUUAUCGCCGAAAGAUCGGCCCGCGUCUGAUUAGCUAGUUGGUGAGGUAAUGGCUCACCAAGGCGACGAUCAGUAGCUGGUCUGAGAGGAUGAUCAGCCACACUGGGACUGAGACACGGCCCAGACUCCUACGGGAGGCAGCAGAAGGG